UAUCCCAAGAUCCCCUUUUAUUUUUCAGAAUUGUGGCUUGCAUUGUAAGAGGAGCCUGUGAAUUCAGAGGCAAGUCUGCUGAGGACCGAAUGUUCCUGUCCAUAAAAACAGAAGUCUGGCCUGGGCUCCUCUCUUGGGUGAAUUUGCAAUGCCAGAUCCUCUCUAUCAGUUUGGUUUUGUUUCUUGUAUCUCUGGGAAGGCAGGCAGACAGCACGGUCACCUGUGAAUGCAGCUACAAUUGGCUUAGCUGCCUCACUGAUAAAUGUGCCCCCAGUAAGCUACAAAGGGAUUACCAGCGUUCUCAGCAGCUAAAGGAACUGGUGAAGAUUUCCCCAGCAAAAAGUAGAAGCUCAGUGUUUCAUAGAUGAAGACUGGGGAGAUUGCAAAAGACCCAUCCAGCAGUGGUUCUCAGACCUCAGUGUGCAUCAGAAUCACCUGGAAGGCUUGUGAAAACACGUAUUGCUGGGCCACACCCCCAGAAUUUCUGGAUCAGUAAAGCUGGGAUUCUUACUUUGAGUAGCCAACUUGCAGAAUACAAUAGAAUUUUGGGAGGAGCCCCUCGAUGCCUGGCUUUACUGUUGGAGAGACAGUACAGUAUACACCAGAUGACUUAUUUGUGAACCAUGGAAACGUUUGGAAAAGGACUGUUUCUGCCAUGCGUGUUACUCAUUGCCAUGGUGCUUAUGACAGUGAAGGAAAGAGUCUCACUUUGUCGCCCAGGCUGGAGUACAGUGGUGCGAUCUUGGCUCUCUGCAACCUCUGCCUCCCAGGUUCAAGUAAUUCUCCUGCCUCAGCCUCCCGAGUAGCUGGUACUACAGGCACACAUUUGUAGAGAUGGUGUUUCCCCAUGUCAUCCAGGCUGGUCUGGAACUCCUGGGAUCAAGUAAUCCACCCGCCUCGGCCUCCCAAAGUGCUGGGAUUACAGACGUGAGCCACCACGCCCUGCCAAUAAAAAGAUUAUCUCCAGAUGCUGGAAUGACCAGUAAUUUAUUUUCUUCCUUUUUUUUUGUCUGCACUUUCUACCAUAAUCAUAUGUUAGCUUCUUACUAAGAAGAAAAGUCAAUGUUAUUUCCCUGAAAAAGUAAUGUUGUUUGGUUAUUAAACAAAUUUAAUUUUCUAAACAAGAGUACGACAGGUAAACUGCCUACCUUAAAAGCAAACGAACACAAAUAAAUAAACUAACCAUCUUCCA
rnacentral:lncRNA from 1 species